rnacentral:rRNA from 1 species
CAGCCGCCGCGGUAAUACAGAGGGUGCAAGCGUUAAUCGGAAUUACUGGGCGUAAAGCGCGCGUAGGUGGUUUGUUAAGUUGAAUGUGAAAUCCCCGGGCUCAACCUGGGAACUGCAUCCAAAACUGGCAAGCUAGAGUAGGGCAGAGGGUGGUGGAAUUUCCUGUGUAGCGGUGAAAUGCGUAGAUAUAGGAAGGAACACCAGUGGCGAAGGCGACCACCUGGGCUCAUACUGACACUGAGGUGCGAAAGCGUGGGGAGCAAACAGGAUUAGAUACCCGUGUAGUCCCUGUCUCUUAUAC